UCAGAGAGAUGCGGGGGGCUGCCUUAAUCGACAUCCACAUCUUAGGCGCUUGGGGAACAGUGGGUUAACUGCAUUGCAUUUUGCGUUGUAGAAUGACAGACCUUUACCGUGGCAGCUCGGGGAUUCGAUCCAGCAACCUUUUCGGGUACUGGCCCAACGCUCUAACCAUUGCAAACUAUAUUUAAUGCACUUUUAAUAUAAUAUUUGUUGCUGAGUCAAUGCAUAAACCAGGGACAUCUGUAAAGUCAAAAUUGGAAAUGGGAUUGAAAUAGCUUUGAGUCAGUGUGUCCCUCCUGUCAACAAGAUGCAGCUUUAGUAACUAAGAUAUUGAAAUAUUUCCAGAUCAGUUAUUAAUAUUGUACUACCAAAUGACAGAUGUUUUGUUGAUAUCUUGAGAUUGAACAUGUGCUGCACAGUAAAAAAAUUGUUAUUCUAGUCAACUUUUAAAUUAGAAAGUAGUUACUUUGACACCACAGUGUUAUUUAAAGGAAACAUAUUCACUUCCUCAAUGCUCUUUACUAAAGAGUGUUUAGAUCAUGUGGUUGCAUUGUGUGUUCAGUCAGAUGUCUGUCAGAAGGAGGAAGUCAGUUCAGUCUCAAAGAUUUAUCACAGCUCUGAGGAUGACGAGGAUUGUUGCCUGUCUGUUCUGUGUCUUAAAACUGUGUGUUGGAGCUGAGGCUUUGACAGAGACACUGGUAGAACUUGGACACAAUGCAACACUGAACUGUUCUCUUAAUAAUGUAACUGAUGCACAUUGGUACCUACAUCGCCAACCACAGCCUCCACUGGCCAUACUCCGCUCUUUCACUAGUAGGAGUUCUGAUGCUUUUUAUUACAAUGAGAAUUAUAGACAUAAAUAUUCAUUAGAAACGGGACAUAGAUUGUUAAUACAGAAUGUAACAGUAGAUGAUUGUGGAGUGUAUUACUGUGCAAAGAAAGAAAACGAUAUUUUCCUUUUCAGUAACGGCACCAGACUCAUGACCCCUGUUGAUCCUGAAGCAACAGAGCAACCCAGAGACUUCAACACAACAUGGCUAAAGGGUCUUCUCAUUGGAUCCGGGGUCUUGAAUGCAGUGCUCAUUUUAUUGGUGUCAGGUGUUUUUUCUACAUUCUUAAAAUGGGGUUUGUUAGUAACCAAGUAACAUUGUGGUGGUAUGUUGUGGCUCAGUUGGUAGAACAUGGCACUUGUGUUGCCAGGGUUGUGGGUUUGAUUCCCCGUGCCACCCAUAUGUAAAGUGUAUGCAGGCAUGACUAUAAGUCGCUUAGGAUAAAAGCGUCUGAUAAAUGGCAUAUUAUUAUAUUUUUUAUCGUACUAAAACUUUUCUUUAGACUGGAUACCAGGCUACCCUUUCCUGCCUUUACAAGCAAUGUUAGGACUAUCUGUUACUGUACUUUUGACUGCAUGGAGACCCAAUACACACUGUAAGAUGUUACUCAGUGAAGUGUGAUCACAAUAGUCUAUACUAAUUCCAUCUGUAUGGGUCAUCUUAGCCAUUUCAGUGCUGUGGAAGAGAGCUGCUUGCCAGAAGAACCAUGACUCUCCUCCAACCCCUGAACCACCUGAAAGGACAGACAGUCUAGAGUAUGAAGUGAUACAGCUGGUACCCCAAGCGAGAGGACUGAGGCCCGACCGCAUAGCCUCAACUAUUUACUCAAGAGUCCAGUUUCCAAAUCAUGAACUCACAACUACUACUUAAUAAGGUGCCAAAUCUUGACUUUGAUGGAUAAUGUGAACUAGAAAAUGACUUUGGUAGAUAAAGUGAAUCUACUCUGAAUAUUCAUAUUUUUGUGUAAUGUAUUUAGUGGUGCUCUUCGUCACUAUCGUCUAUAUACCAGUCAGCAAUAUCUUUGAAGGAAAUUAUUACUUUUGUGUCUUGAUUCAUAUUUUUCAUUGCUGGAAAUAAGUUCAUAUUUGCCUGUCUUGAAAGUAAACUGUUACUUUUUUUGUGAAGCAGUUAGGAAGAGGUUUGUGCAUUUCUGUAGAAAAAGCCCCCAAGCCUUUUGUAGUGUAUUGAUGCUGCAUCAAUCACACAUAUCCUGUUUGAGAGCUUAGCUACACGUCCCAAUUACUGUACAAUAAACCAUUUUUGAUGACUUGUACAAGCUUUCAAUUAGUUCAUUAGAAAGCCUACUUCAUGUGCCCCAUAACACCUUUCUGAGUAGAAGGUAGUGUCACAACUUCUGCUGAGGUCAGUCCACCUUUAAUUUUCCAUUUCUUUUGUUUUGUUUUCUUUUCUCUUGUUUACCUGGUUCACAUUCCCUCAUCAGAUUAAAUGUAUAUUACCAUCUGUUUCCCCCAUGUCUGUGUGUGGAAUUGUUCUUUGUGUAGGGUGUUACGCUACAGGCUGGCUUGCGCUAGGUUUGUUUCAAACCUAGGUUUGUUUGUUUUGUUUAACCCAGUUCAUGUUCCCGUGGUUGUGCUUUGUGCUGCCUCGCCUGUGCCUUUGGGCCAGGGUGUAUAUUAAAGUUCUCCUGUUAUCACCCA